rnacentral:rRNA from 1 species
GACGAACGUUGGCGGCGUGCUUAAUACAUGCAAGUCGACUGAAGCAGUGGUACCAAUGUCGCUGUGGCGGUGGCGCACGGGUGAGUAACACGUAGGUAAUCUGCCUUCAGGUCUGGCAUAACUCCGGGAAACCGGGGCUAAUAGCAGAUGAUGCAGCGCCUCGACAUCGAGACGGUUGUUAAAGCUAUGGCGCCUGAAGAUGAGCCUGCGUCUGAUUAGCUGGUUGGCGGGGUAACGGCCCACCAAGGCAACGAUCAGGAGCUGGUCUGAGAGGAUGAUCAGCAACACUGGAACUGAGACACGGUCCAGACUCCUACGGGAGGCAGCAGUAAGGAAAAUUGCGCAAUGGGAGAAAUCAUGAAGCAGCAACGCCGCGUGAGGGACGAAGGGCUUUUGCUUGUAAACCUCUGUAGAGAGAGAAAAAAAUCCCAAUCUUUGGGACAUGAUGGUAUCUCAAAAGUAAGCCCCGGCUAACUACGUG